AAGACAAUGUUCUCUAAGUUUCCAAGACAAAGACACCCUGAGAGUCUGGGAGAGCCUGGAUCCUUGGACCCCAGCCUGUGGUGCUACUCAGAGGAGAGGGAACCUUUAGAAGGCAGAGCUCGGCAGAGGUCAGAGGUCACUGGGGACUCAUCCUUGCAAGGAGUUAUGGGACGCUGUCCUCACCCUCUGCUGUCCACUCUGCUUCUGGGCUGAUAAGGGGAGUGGGCUCCCUCUGCCUCAUGUCCCCAUCAUGGGGAUACUGAAGCCCUGGAUGCCUUGCACACAGAUGAAACCUCCAAACGCUCCUUGCAGAGAUGGAGAAUCCCACGCAGAAGCACACAAGAGAGGAAUGGAGACCCAGCUCCUAAUACGGUGGAGUCUGUGCUCCAGUCUUUAUCACACUAUUUCUAGGCUGGUCCGUGUGCAAAGCCAUGACAGUUUCACGAACAGCUGCUGUGAUGAGACAAAAUUUACGUUCAGAAGGCUGCUGGUUAGAAAGCAUUUCCUGUCAUAUGGCCUCCCUGAGAAGCAUCACUAUACUGAGGGCCCUGGUCCUCCUCUGUCACCAGCAAGUCUGAGCUUUGCCGGGGGAGGCAGCAUCUGGAUAAGUGCUUUCCAAGAGGGGAGCUGCGUGGGAGGCCAGCGUGUCCUCUGUUUCUGACCUUCUAGGCUCCGUGUCUACAGGGCCACUGUGUCAAUGCUUGGAUGACCGAAGACAAAGCCAUUCUGCCAACAUACUCAUUAAGUACGUCCUCCACAGAGCUGGCUUCCUGGCAGAUAUAAAGAUAUAAUUUAAGAAAUCUCUUCAGCCGGAAUAGCAUGAGCCCUCACCCUGCACCAGGACAUCACGGUCCUCACUGGUGGAUUCACCAGUGCAUGGACUGUCCCAUGGUUUCAGGGGUUUCUGGGAACCUCAUAUCAUGUGGGGAAGUGGGGUCUUUGUCAGUCAGGUGAUGCAGUGAGCGAUGUAGUUUUUAAACUGUGUCCUCUCUGGUCUCUCAGCUUGCUUCUGAGCCAGCUGUGCCCAGCCAGCAGACAGCAGGUUGUAGUUAGACACACCAGGGGUUUAUGGGGAUGUAUGUGAAGACCAGGAGGAGGAGGAUGGGCAGGGAGGGUCUUCAGGCUGCCAUGUUGCUCUGGUGCUGUGAAAAGAGAACGGGCAGGAGGCUGGGUCAGGAUUUCCUCUGGAUGCAGUGCUGCUGUGAGAAAAUCCUGGCCCAGUAGGGAAACCUAGAUUGCGGAUGGGAAGUGCCCCCCACAUCCAACAGGGCCCCAGCUCCGGCAUGCAGCCACCUCAGGCCCUGGCCAGGAGCAUGCAGUAAGAGGGCAGGAUCAGAAUAGGAUGGCUGGAUGCCGGCGGCAGAGCAGCAGGGAGAGCGGGGUGGUGAGUGACCAGGGGUACUGCAGCUGGCUUGAGGUCCUUUACUUCACAGGCAGCAGGAAUAAAGCAGAGCUAGAACUGCCUUUGUAAAGAAAGAGCAUCUUUCAGGUCCAUCAGGAAAGGGGAAGGAUGGUCCUCUUUUCUCAUUGUAGGGUGAAAUUUUCUUAUUUGUGCAUCUUCCAAUGACUGGGAGACCAUGGAGUGUCUGCUAGCAAAGAUGUUUCUCAAUUUCCCAUCAUCUGGGCAGUGUGUGGUAACCUGCCACUGGCUUUGUGAUCCACUAACGGGCUUUCAGUUAUUACUGAACUUUCAAGCCAUGUAGGCAGUGCUUGAUAUGACUCGGCUCCAUCACAUUUUCCUGAACAAAUCACCCAGGGGUGAUUGUUACUCCACAGCAUCUCGCCCAACUGGACAGCUUCAGUCACCAGGCUGUGCUCCAACUCAUAUUUGGUCCUUGAUCUCCGGGCCACAUCUACUCAGCAUCUUAUUAAUUUCUUGCUGCUUUGAGGUGAAGCCCUAACACACUAAGAAGUCGUGUACAAGUCACACUGAUGUAUGCAAUUGGAAAUAAAGUGCUGACAUCUGGUGAGGCAAAACCACAGCCCCCAAAUUUUGAAAUGCCCCCCAACAACACUGCAUGCAUUACAUAUAAGCCGAUAGAGUCCUUCUGACUCUAACCACAACCUUAACAUUUCAUAGCUUAUUGCCAACAACAAGUUAAACAUUUCAAACAAUCACUUGAAAACCUUCAACAAAAAAUAAAAUUUGGACCACCUUGCUAUGGACAAGAAUGGACUAUUUCUGUGCUCUCGCAGGUCACACUAAAAGCUGAAAUCACAGAAAAAGAAAAAUUAGAAUACACAUCAAAAUAACGCGGUGAAAUUUAACAUGUGCAUGUGACAAGCAGUAAUUUGUUAAAAGAAGCCAUUAGUUUUCUAGCUUUUAUCAUAUCUGUGCAAUUUGUUCUUUUUCAAAAAAAUUCAUUUUAUUUUGAUUUAUAUUGUCAUUCCAAAUAAAAAUUAAAGCUAGUAAA